rfam:Gorilla gorilla gorilla genomic chromosome, chr5, whole genome shotgun sequence
GCCAGGCACAGUGGCACAUGCCUGUACUCCUAGCUACUUCGAAGGCUGAGGCAGGGGGAUUACUUGAGCACAGGAGUUCUGGGCUGUAGUGUGUUAUGCCAAUCAGGUGUCCACACUAAAUUUGGAAUCAAUAUAAAUUUGGAAUCAAUAUAGUGACGUCCCAGGAGCAGGGGACCACGAGGUUGCCUAAGGAGGGGUGAACUGGCCCAGAUUGGAGUUGGAGCAGGUCAAAACUCUGAUGCUGAUCAGUCAUGGGAUCGUGCCUGUAAAUAGCAACUGCACUCCAGCCUGGGCAACAUAGCGAGAUACUGUCUCUA